rnacentral:rRNA from 1 species
GUGGGGAAUAUUGGACAAUGGGCGAAAGCCUGAUCCAGCCAUGCCGCGUGUGUGAAGAAGGUCUUCGGAUUGUAAAGCACUUUAAGUUGGGAGGAAGGGUAGUAACCUAAUACGUUGCUACUUUGACGUUACCGACAGAAUAAGCACCGGCUAACUUCGUGCCAGCAGCCGCGGUAAUACGAAGGGUGCAAGCGUUAAUCGGAAUUACUGGGCGUAAAGCGCGCGUAGGUGGUUCAGUAAGUUGGAAGUGAAAUCCCCGGGCUCAACCUGGGAACUGCUUUCAAAACUGCUGAGCUAGAGUACGGUAGAGGGUGGUGGAAUGUCCUGUGUAGCGGUGAAAUGCGUAGAUAUAGGAAGGAACACCAGUGGCGAAGGCGACCACCUGGACUGAUACUGACACUGAGGUGCGAAAGCGUGGGGAGCAAACAGGAUUAGAAACCCGUGUAGUCC